AGCUGUAAAGGUGACCUGGUUGCAACAUCUCUCACCCUGUUAACCACCAAGGUUAAUUUGGCUGAUCUGGCUGGCUAAGUGGGCAUUCCCUUCCGCCCUCACCACUCCAUGUGCAUCCCUCUCAAAGUUGUGUGUUUUGGUCAAAGAGGACAACUUUCUUUGAUAGAGGAGAAUCAUCCCUCAGUUGGGGAUAUACAAGUAGUUGUGCAUCCCAGAUAGAACCUCCAAACAACCUCUUGAGGUCUUACUAUAUUCUUUGAAUAAUACUUUUAUUGCAUAGAAUAGAAUUCUAGGGUGGCACAGGUAAGGGUGUGUGUGUGCAUGCACAUACACAUGCGUGCAUAUGUGUGUAUGU
rnacentral:snRNA from 1 species